rnacentral:rRNA from 1 species
UACGAAGGUGGCAAGCGUUGUUCGGAUUUACUGGGCGUAAAGGGAGCGUAGGUGGUGGGGUAAGCCCCGCGGGAAAGCUCCAGGCUUAACCUGGAAAGGUCGCGGGGGACUGCUCCGCUCGAGGACGGGAGAGGAGCGCGGAAUUCCCGGUGUAGCGGUGAAAUGCGUAGAGAUCGGGAGGAAGGCCGGUGGCGAAGGCGGCGCUCUGGAACGGCCCUGACACUGAGGCUCGAAAGCCAGGGGAGCGAACGGG